rnacentral:rRNA from 1 species
AAGUCGUAACAAGGUUUCCGUAGGUGAACCUGCGGAAGGAUCAUUACCGAAUUGUCAACACGAGUUGUUGCUGGUCCUCGAAUGGGGGCAUGUGCACGCUCUGUUUACACAUCCACUCACACCUGUGCACCUUCUGUAGUUCUGUGGCAUGGGGGACUCUGUCCUCCUGUUGUGGUCCUACGUCUUUACACACACUCUGUAAAAAAGUCUCAUGGAAUGCAUGACGCGUUUAACGCAAUACAAUACAACUUUCAGCAACGGAUCUCUUGGCUCUCGCAUCGAUGAAGAACGCAGCGAAAUGCGAUAAGUAAUGUGAAUUGCAGAAUUCAGUGAAUCAUCGAAUCUUUGAACGCACCUUGCGCCCUUUGGCUAUUCCGAAGGGCAUGCCUGUUUGAGUAUCGUAAACACCUCAACUCUCAUGGUUAGCCAUGAUGAGCUUGGACUUUGGGGGUCUUGCUGGCCUGUGGUCAGCUCCUCUCAAAUGGAUCAGCUUGCCAGUGUUUGGUGGCAUCACAGGUGUGAUAACUAUCUACGCUUGUGGUUCUCUACCAGAUAACCUUCAGUGAUGGAGGUUCGCUGGAGCUCAUAAAUGUCUCUCCUCGGCGAAGACAGCUUUUCGAACGUUUGAUCUCAAAUCACGUAGGACUACCCGCUGAACUUAA